GGAGACGACUUAGGGUUACUUUAGCCCUAUCUACUUUCUUGAAUACUACUAGGCAAUACUGAAGUUGCUUUGAAAAGUAGUAUUAAUUUGAUAGCUUCAACGACAGCUUAUCAAAUUUGAACUACGGUAAGUAUUUUGAAUAUUUUGAUUCUCAUUUUUAUUUUUUUUUUGUUUUAUUUUCCUAACGCAUAUACAUUUAAUUUAGUUUGAGUUAUUUUGUAGCAUUUAGUUAUUCUUCAGAAAAACUCUUUGUUCUUGCUUUAAUUAAGAAUUUCUCUUGAGAAACACUUAAAGCUAGUUUGAAUAUACUCUGGCUAGGAAAGACUUGGUACUUAAGUUGUCCAUUGUGACACACCUCUCUUUCCUGGGAGUGGACCCAAACAAAGUAUUUCUCAUAUCUCAUUUGAAAUCUUU
rnacentral:lncRNA from 1 species